rnacentral:tRNA from 1 species
AUACUUGUGGCUGAGUGGACAAAAGCAGUGAGCUCAUAACUCAUCUAUAAAACGAAAGUUCGAAUCUUUUCAAGUAUA